GACGAACGCUGGCGGCGUGCUUAACACAUGCAAGUCGAACGAUGAAGCUGGAGCUUGCUCUAGCGGAUUAGUGGCGAACGGGUGAGUAACACGUGAGCAAUCUGCCCUUGACUCUGGGAUAACUGCGGGAAACUGUAGCUAAUACCGGAUACUUUCACCGGGGGGCAUCCUCUGGUGAUGAAAGAAUUUCGGUCAAGGAUGAGCUCGCGGCCUAUCAGCUUGUUGGUGAGGUAACGGCUCACCAAGGCGACGACGGGUAACCGGCCUGAGAGGGUGACCGGUCACACUGGGACUGAGAAACGGCCCAGACUCGUACGGGAGGCAGCAGUGGGGAAUAUUGCGCAAUGGGCGAAAGCCUGACGCAGCAACGCCGCGUGCGGGAUGAAGGCCUUCGGGUUGUAAACCGCUUUCAGCAGGGAAGAAGCGAAAGUGACGGUACCUGCAGAAGAAGCACCGGCUAACUACGUGCCAGCCGCCGCCGUAA
rnacentral:rRNA from 1 species